rnacentral:rRNA from 1 species
GAUGAACGCUAGCGGCAGGCUUAAUACAUGCAAGUCGAGGGGUAGCAAGAUUGUAGCAAUACAAUUGUUGACGACCGGCAAACGGGUGCGGAACACGUACACAACCUUCCUACAAGUGGGGAAUAGCCCAGAGAAAUUUGGAUUAAUACCCCGUAACAUAGCGAUGUGGCAUCGCAUUGCUAUUAUAGCUUCGGUGCUUGUUGAUGGGUGUCCGGCUGAUUAGAUAGUUGGCGGGGUAACGGCCCACCAAGUCUACGAUCAGUAGCUGAUGUGAGAGCAUGAUCAGCCACACGGGCACUGAGACACGGGCACGACUCCUACGGGAGGCAGCAGUAAGGAAUAUUGGACAAUGGACGCAAGUCUGAUCCAGCCAUGCCGCGUGAAGGAUUAAGGUCCUCUGGAUUGUAAACUUCUUUUAUAAGGGACGAAAAAAGGUCUUUCUAGAUCGUCUGACGGUACCUUAUGAAUAAGCACCGGCUAACUCCGUGCCAGCAGCCGCAGUAACAC